rnacentral:rRNA from 1 species
CAGUCGCCGCGGUAAUACGAAGGGGGCUAGCGUUGUUCGGAAUUACUGGGCGUAAAGCGCACGUAGGCGGAUAUUUAAGUCAGGGGUGAAAUCCCAGAGCUCAACUCUGGAACUGCCUUUGAUACUGGGUAUCUUGAGUAUGGAAGAGGUGAGUGGAAUUCCGAGUGUAGAGGUGAAAUUCGUAGAUAUUCGGAGGAACACCAGUGGCGAAGGCGGCUCACUGGUCCAUUACUGACGCUGAGGUGCGAAAGCGUGGGGAGCAAACAGGAUUAGAGACCCCUGUAGUCCCUGUCUCUUAUAC